AUGGUGCAUAUGAAUCAAGGGCAAGGGGAGACAAGCUAUGCUCGUAACUCCAGGAUUCAGAAUGCUCAACAAAACAGGAUGAAGCCCCUGAUAGAAGGGUCCAUCUUUGAGUUAUGCAGCAACAACACCUUGUUCCCUGGAAAGAUACUGAUCGCAGACUUGGGCUGCUCCUCUGGCCCAAAUGCGCUUGCACUGGUAUCGAUUGCCGUCGAGGCCAUCCACAGCUAUUGCCUUCAGUUUGAGCAGACACUACCGGAAGUGUGCGUGCUACUCAAUGACCUGCCUGACAACGAUUUCAACACAGUGGUGAAGAGCCUGGUCACACUCCGUCAAAGCAAGAAGCCCAAUGUUUUGACUGGUGUCACGCCGGGGUCAUUUUACGAGAGGCUCUUCACUAGUGGCUCAAUGCAUCUUAUCUGCUCAUCCAACAGCCUGCAUUGGCUCUCAAAGGCUCCUGAACAUCUCACAAGGAACCAGAUCCCGGCGUAUGACAUGGAUGAGCAUGCUAGGUGUGAAAGCCUCCCUAUUGUCCUCGAGGCUUAUGCACAACAGUUUAUGGAAGAUUUCACACUUUUCCUGAAGCUAAGAGCCAAGGAAUUGGUUCCAGGAGGCCGAAUGGUUGUUUCCCUUGUAGGGAGGCAUUCUGAUGUGACCGCCUCCAAAUUCUCUCACCUCUGGGAAACUGUAGCUCAGAUUCUAAGUGUCAUGGCCUCAGAGGGUGUGAUAGACAAAGCCAAGUAUGAUUCUUUCUACGUGCCGAUGUAUGGAGCAUCCAGUGAAGAGUUGAUGGAGAUCAUCCAAGAAGAAGGCUCCUUCUCAAUCACGGACAUGCGGGUAUAUGACCCCGCAACUGAUAUGAACAAUGCACUCUUUACAUCAAGUUGGUUCAUAAAUCAUCUGAGAGCCAUAUUUGAGCCUAUAAUAGUCGAGCAUUUCGGAGACGUCAUGAAUGAAUUUGUGAGAACUGCGGAGCAGCGCUGGACCCUCGAGGGCAGCGUGCAAGACGAGCGUGCCAAAUACCCGCGAGCUAUGCAGGUCGUAUCGCUUGCGAAGGCAUGA
rnacentral:rRNA from 1 species